ACCUCAAGGAAAGAACCCAAAGAGUCCCAAGCCCGCUGCUCAGGGUCAGCGCGGUCGAUCCUCUCCACGACAUCUGACAGAAUGCAGCCGUCGAUCAGCCGCCUGAUCAGGUCCCUGUCAUUGAAGGGAUUCUCCGCCCCCUCCUCGGAGCAGACGGACUCGUCUGCAGCAGCUCGGUGGCUACUCGCCCUGCGAGCCACCAUUUUUCUCCUCCUCCCC
rnacentral:lncRNA from 1 species